GGAAAGAUCUUUUGCACCAUGAUCCUCCAUUUACUAUUCUUAUACAAAUAAAACACUUAGCAACAGUGAUGAGGCAAUUAGUUAUUGAAAAAACAGAUAAUUCCUCUUCCAAAGAAUUUACUGCAGUUCUUUUAGGACUAAUGAAAAUGUACUGGCUUUGUAAUGGCCAUUGCACACAUUGCAAAGUUUUGACUCCAAAAGUUGUUGAUGAGUAAAUGGGGCUGCAUCUACAAGUGGAGAUUGAGGGGUAUAUAGCUCCAGUUACAAGUGACACGUCUUUUGAUAGCCCAACAAGUAGCAGGUCACCCCCAUCCAAACGUAGGCAUUGACCACUGGUAGACUAUACAGAAGAGUGAAGAGUCCUCAAGUGCAGUCAAUAGUACAAGUGAUCACGAAGUGAAUUGAGUCUAGUGGAUCGUCACCAGAUACAGAAACUCAAGCGUACACACUUAAAGAGCAAGCACCGGCCACAUUUGACACUGCUCUUCUAGUGAGUUCUUUUGUUAUGUUGCCUUUUGAUAGAUUAAUUGUCAUCAUUAUGGAAUACCUGAUGUUGUUUUGAUGAUGAUUCAUCUAUAGUAAUAGUCGAGUUUAUGAAUGAGGUACCUAGUCUUGUUGCAUUUGAGAGUGAUGUGGGGCAGUUACUGUUUUAUGUGAUGGGCAACCUCAUUGAAACAUCGUAUAAGGAUUCCCAACAUAUUUUGGGAAUACUAAUUGAAGGAAAACAGUUUCUAUUAUGUCAUGCAACAUGGGACAGGAUGAAUGAAAGUUUCAUGAUUGUAAUAUCCCAGUUUUACAACUUGCUUGAUGCUGACAAUUUGAUAUACCUUUGUGAAACCUGUUAUGACAUGUUUACACUCAACAAUUGAUUAUUCAUUAUUUUGCCAUUAAAUAUUA